GUCUUUUUGUUAAUAAUUUUAAGUUUAACCUGCUCAAUGAUUUAUUUAAUAGCUGCGGUAUUUUGACUGUACAAAGGUAGCGUGAUAAUUAGUUUUUUAAUUGGAAGCUGGGAUGAAUGGUUGGACGAGAAAGCUGCUGUCUUACAAUUAUAUUUUGAAUUUUAUUUUAAAGUUAAAAAGCUUUAAUAGAUUUAGGGGACGAGAAGACCCUAUAGAGUUUUACUUUUUUGUAUUGGUUAUUUUUAGUACUUACUUGUUCAAAAGUUUGGUUGGGGUGACUGAAAGAUUAAUAAAAUUCUUUAAUUUUUAACAGUGAUUUCUGUAAUUUGAUAAGAGCUAUAGUUUUAAUUUAAAGACUAAAUUACCUUAGGGAUAACAGCGUAAUUUUUUAUUAAGUUCAUAUUUAUAUAAAAGGUUGCGACCUCGAUGUUGGAUUAAAAUUUAUUUUAGGUGUAGGUGCUUAAAUAUUGGUCUGUUCGACUUUUAAAAUUUUACA
rnacentral:rRNA from 1 species